CAACCCUCAGGCCCUGCCUGGUGUUGGGGCACCACAGCCGUGGUCCCCGAAAGUCAGCGGCGGGCUCGCCCCGGACCCGAGCGUAGUAACACAUCUCGCUAAGAGCUCCGGGCGUGCUCCGGCCGUUAAACACCCCAAUUCUAAA
rnacentral:misc_RNA from 1 species